rnacentral:rRNA from 1 species
GGUUAAGCGACUAAGCGUACACGGUGGAUGCCCUGGCAGUCAGAGGCGAUGAAGGACGUGCUAAUCUGCGAUAAGCGUCGGUAAGGUGAUAUGAACCGUUAUAACCGGCGAUUUCCGAAUGGGGAAACCCAGUGUGAUUCGUCACACUAUCAUUAACUGAAUCCAUAGGUUAAUGAGGCGAACCGGGGGAACUGAAACAUCUAAGUACCCCGAGGAAAAGAAAUCAACCGAGAUUCCCCCAGUAGCGGCGAGCGAACGGGGAGCAGCCCAGAGCCUGAAUCAGUGUGUGUGUUAGUGGAAGCGUCUGGAAAGGCGUGCGAUACAGGGUGACAGCCCCGUACACAAAAAUGCACAUGCUGUGAGCUCGAUGAGUAGGGCGGGACACGUGGUAUCCUGUCUGAAUAUGGGGGGACCAUCCUCCAAGGCUAAAUACUCCUGACUGACCGAUAGUGAACCAGUACCGUGAGGGAAAGGCGAAAAGAACCCCGGCGAGGGGAGUGAAAAAGAACCUGAAACCGUGUACGUACAAGCAGUGGGAGCACGCUUAGGCGUGUGACUGCGUACCUUUUGUAUAAUGGGUCAGCGACUUAUAUUCUGUAGCAAGGUUAACCGAAUAGGGGAGCCGAAGGGAAACCGAGUCUUAACUGGGCGUUAAGUUGCAGGGUAUAGACCCGAAACCCGGUGAUCUAGCCAUGGGCAGGUUGAAGGUUGGGUAACACUAACUGGAGGACCGAACCGACUAAUGUUGAAAAAUUAGCGGAUGACUUGUGGCUGGGGGUGAAAGGCCAAUCAAACCGGGAGAUAGCUGGUUCUCCCCGAAAGCUAUUUAGGUAGCGCCUCGUGAAUUCAUCUCCGGGGGUAGAGCACUGUUUCGGCAAGGGGGUCAUCCCGACUUACCAACCCGAUGCAAACUGCGAAUACCGGAGAAUGUUAUCACGGGAGACACACGGCGGGUGCUAACGUCCGUCGUGAAGAGGGAAACAACCCAGACCGCCAGCUAAGGUCCCAAAGUCAUGGUUAAGUGGGAAACGAUGUGGGAAGGCCCAGACAGCCAGGAUGUUGGCUUAGAAGCAGCCAUCAUUUAAAGAAAGCGUAAUAGCUCACUGGUCGAGUCGGCCUGCGCGGAAGAUGUAACGGGGCUAAACCAUGCACCGAAGCUGCGGCAGCGACGCUUAUGCGUUGUUGGGUAGGGGAGCGUUCUGUAAGCCUGCGAAGGUGUGCUGUGAGGCAUGCUGGAGGUAUCAGAAGUGCGAAUGCUGACAUAAGUAACGAUAAAGCGGGUGAAAAGCCCGCUCGCCGGAAGACCAAGGGUUCCUGUCCAACGUUAAUCGGGGCAGGGUGAGUCGACCCCUAAGGCGAGGCCGAAAGGCGUAGUCGAUGGGAAACAGGUUAAUAUUCCUGUACUUGGUGUUACUGCGAAGGGGGGACGGAGAAGGCUAUGUUGGCCGGGCGACGGUUGUCCCGGUUUAAGCGUGUAGGCUGGUUUUCCAGGCAAAUCCGGAAAA